rnacentral:rRNA from 1 species
UACGGAGGGGGCUAGCGUUGUUCGGAAUUACGUGGGCGGUAAGGCUCGUAGGCGGCCAACUAAGUCAGACGUGAAAUCCCUCGGCUUAACCGGGGAACUGCGUCUGAUACUGGAUGGCUUGAGGUUGGGAGAGGGAUGCGGAAUUCCAGGUGUAGCGGUGAAAUGCGUAGAUAUCUGGAGGAACACCGGUGGCGAAGGCGGCAUCCUGGACCAAUUCUGACGCUGAGGAGCGAAAGCCAGGGGAGCAAACGGGG